rnacentral:rRNA from 1 species
AACGAACGCUGGCGGCAGGCCUAACACAUGCAAGUCGAGCGAGAUCUUCGGGUCUAGCGGCGGACGGGUGAGUAACGCGUGGGAAUAUGCCUCUUGGUACGGAAUAGCCUCGGGAAACUGGGAGUGAUACCGUAUGUGCCCUUUGGGGGAAAGAUUUAUCGCCAAGAGAUUAGCCCGCGUUGGAUUAGGUAGUUGGUGGGGUAAUGGCCUACCAAGCCGACGAUCCAUAGCUGGUUUGAGAGGAUGAUCAGCCACACUGGGACUGAGACACGGCCCAGACUCCUACGGGAGGCAGCAGUGGGGAAUCUUAGACAAUGGGGGCAACCCUGAUCUAGCCAUGCCGCGUGAGUGAUGAAGGCCUUAGGGUUGUAAAGCUCUUUCAGCUGGGAAGAUAAUGACGGUACCAGCAGAAGAAGCCCCGGCUAACUCCGUG